rnacentral:rRNA from 1 species
CCUACGGGGGGCAGCAGUGAGGAAUCUUGGUCAAUGGACGAGAGUCUGAACCAGCCAAGUAGCGUGAAGGAUGACUGCCCUCUGGGUUGUAAACUUCUUUUAUAAAGGAAUAAAACGAGGCACGUGUGCCUUUUUGCAUGUACUUUAUGAAUACGGAUCGGCUAACUCCGUGCCAGCAGCCGCGGUAAUACGGAGGAUCCGAGCGUUAUCCGGAUUUAUUUGGUUUAAAGGGAGCGUAGAUGGGUUGUUAAGUCAGUUGUGAAAGUUUGCGGCUCAACCGUAAAAUUGCAAUUGAUACUGGCAGUCUUGAGUACAGUUGAGGUAGGCGGAAUUCGUGGUGUAGCGGUGAAAUGCUUAGAUAUCACGAAGAACCCCGAUUGCGAAGGCAGCUUACUAAACUGUGACUGACAUUGAUGCUCGAAAGUGUGGGUAUCAAACAGGAUUAGAUACCCUUGUAGUC